AUUGAACGCUGGCGGCAUGCUUUACACAUGCAAGUCGAACGGCAGCGCGGGCUGCGGCCUGGCGGCGCGUGGCGAACGGGUGGGUAAUACAUCGGAAGGUGCCCUAUAGAGGGGGAUAGCUCGGCGAAAGCAGGCUUAAUCCAGCAUACGACAUGAGGUUGAAAGCGGGGGAUCUUUGGAGAUAGCGCGUUUGGAGCGGCCGAUGGCAGAUUAGCUAGUUGGUGAGGUAAAGGCCUACCAAGGCGACGAUCUGUAGCUGGUCUGAGAGGACGACCCGCCACACUGGGACUGAGACACGGCCCAGACUCCUACGGGAGGCAGCAGUGGGGAAUCUUGCACAAUGGGCGAAAGCCUGAUCCAGCAAUGCCGCGUGUGUGAUGAAGGCCUUCGGGUUGUAAAGCACUUUUGGCGGGAACGAAAAGGACUGUGCCAAUACCACGGUUCGAUGACGGUACCCGCAGAAUAAGCACCGGCUAACUACGUG
rnacentral:rRNA from 1 species